rnacentral:tRNA from 1 species
GGGCGCGUAGCUCAGUGGAUAGAGCAUCAGAUUCCGGUUCUGAGGGUCGGGGGUUCAAAUCCCUUCGCGCUCG